CCCUUAGAUGUCCUGGGCCGCACGCGCGCUACACUGAGUGUCUGAGAUACGAGUCUGCCUGGUCCGGCAAGGUCUAGGUAACCGCUAAAAGACACAUCAUGCUUGGGAUAGAUUAUUGCAAAUAUUAAUCUUGAACGAGGAAUUCCUAGUAAGCGCAAGUCAACAGCUUGCGUUGAUUACGUCCCUGCCCUUUGUACACACCGCCCGUCGCUACUACUGAUUGGAUGUUUAAGCGAGGUUCUCGAACUGCUAGCGACUUAGCUUCGGUGAGGUCGCAGUGUGGGAAGUGAACCUAGCUUUGGUGUCUAGAGGAAGUAAAAGUCGUAACA
rnacentral:rRNA from 1 species